GUUGAACGCUGGCGGCAGGCCUAACACAUGCAAGUCGAGCGGCAGCGGAAAGUAGCUUGCUACUUUGCCGGCGAGCGGCGGACGGGUGAGUAAUGUCUGGGAAACUGCCUGAUGGAGGGGGAUAACUACUGGAAACGGUAGCUAAUACCGCAUAACGUCGCAAGACCAAAGAGGGGGACCUUCGGGCCUCUUGCCAUCAGAUGUGCCCAGAUGGGAUUAGCUAGUAGGUGGGGUAAGGGCUCACCUAGGCGACGGUCCCUAGCUGGUCUGAGAGGAUGACCAGCCACACUGGAACUGAGACACGGUCCAGACUCCUACGGGAGGCAGCAGUGGGGAAUAUUGCACAAUGGGCGCAAGCCUGAUGCAGCCAUGCCGCGUGUAUGAAGAAGGCCUUCGGGUUGUAAAGCACUUUCAGCGGGGAGGAAGGUGUUGAGGUUAAUAACCUCAGCAAUUGACGUUACCCGCAGAAGAAGCACCGGCUAACUCCGUGCCAGCAGCCGCGGUAACAC
rnacentral:rRNA from 1 species